CACGGCACAUGGCCUGCAGAAAACAUGCCUAAGCUGGCAUUACUGUCUGUGCAGGUUUUGUCGUGGAUUAUAGGAGCGACGACUACGACUACGAACGACGCAAACUGACUACCUAUCAACGGAACUUAUCUGGAUACUGCAAGCAAUGCGUGGGAGGAUCGGCUGUCAUCAGCGGUGACGUCACCUCUGGCUCGGCUACAAAAGGAGCAGCACAUCCAGGAAGCCUUCAGAGGGCACGGCACAUGGCCUGCAGAAAACAUGCCUAAGCCGGCAUUACUGUCUGUGCAGGUUUUGUCGUGGAUUAUAGGAGCGACGACUACGACUACGAACGACGCAAACUAGCUACCUAUCAACGGAACUUAUCUGGAUACUGCAAGCAAUGCGUGGGAGGAUCGGCUGUCAUCAGCGGUGACGUCACCUCUGGCUCGGCUACAAAAGGAGCAGCACAUCCAGGAAGCCUUCAGAGGGCACGGCACAUGGCCUGCAGAAAACAUGCCUAAGCUGGCAUUACUGUCUGUGCAGGAGCCUUCCGCGAUGCCCGAGGGUCAUACGACGGCUUUUACCGAACAAUGGGAGCCGUAAGCUUAGCGGCCGGAGUCCUCUUUGGAACUUUUGCUUUAUGGCACCGUGUCCGAAGAAAUGGUCACCGCACCAACACUCCUUAGGCAGUUUGCGCACUAGAGCGCAUCAAUAUGUUUCAUUCUAGGAAGCCAAUAUCCUGCCUUCUUCGAUGACUAUUCUCCGCAAAAUUGCUUUGUUUAUUGUGCGGAUAUAGAGAAUUAUCUUUCAGAAAUGGGUGCUGGCCAUAAUUCAUAAAACUCGUUUUUUUUUAAUUCAGGGUGGUUCCUAAUUACUAUCGAAUAAAAUUCUCGCCACGAGG